GCGGGUCCCAGCGCUGCCGCACCAUGGCGGACCAGCUUUAUCUGGAAAAUAUAGACGAGUUCGUCACGGACCAAAACAAGAUCGUGACAUACAAAUGGCUGAGCUAUACACUAGGGGUUCAUGUUAACCAGGCCAAACAAUGGGGUUUCACUAUGUUGCCCAGGCUGGAUUUGAACUCAAGGAUCCUCCCGCCUCAGCCUACCAACUAGCUCUACAGGUGUACAUCACCACACCUGGCAAAAACUUUUUAUUAUGUCUUAUUUUAACCAUCCUAGUGGAUGUGAAGUGGUAUCUCAUAAAUUAUGUUGAUUGGCAUUUUCCUAAUGACUAAUGUUGCUGAAUAUCUUUUCAUAUGCUGCUUGGCCAUAUCUUUGGAGAAAUAGAUAUUCAAAAUUAUGCCCAUUUUUGUCAUUGGGUAUUUUUGGUUGUUGUUGAGUUUUAAGAGUUCUUUAUAUAUUCUGAAUACAAGACCCUGAUUGAAAAAUUAUUUGCAAAAAUUUUCUCCCAUUCUGUGGAUUGUCUUUGUACUUUCUUGAUGGUGUGCUUUGAAGCACAGACAUUUUUUGUUGUUGUUGUUGUUUGAGACAGGAUGUCACUCUGUUGCCCAAGCUGGAGUGCAGUGGUGUGAUCUCAGCCCACUGCAGCCUUGACUUCCCUGGGCUCAGGUGAUUUUCCCACCUCAGCCUCCCGAGUAGCCGGGACUACAGGUGCGUGCCACCACACUCAGCUAAUUUUUAAAUUUUUUGUAGAGAUGGAGUCCCGCCAUGUUUCCCAUGCUGGUCCCAGGCUGGUCUUGAAUUCCCAGGCUCAAGCCCCUGCCUUGGCCUCCCAAAGUGCUGGGAUUACAGACAUAAGCCACCAUGCCUGGCCCAUGGAAGUUUUUAUUGCUGAUGAAGUCCAAUUUAUUUAUUUUUCCUUUUGUUGCUUAUGCUUUUUUAAGUUUAAAUUUUAAAAUGAUUAAAUUUUUUUUAAUCUUAUUUUUUUUUUUUUUUUAGUAGAGAUGAGAUCUUGCUAUGUUGCCCAGGCUGGUCUCAAACUCCUGACCUCAAGUGAUCCUCCCACCUUGGCCUCCCAAAAUGCUGGGAUUACAGAUACAAGCCACUGUGCCCGGCCUAAGAAGAUUUUUUUUUUUCUUUUUUUUUUUUUUGAGGCAGAAGCCUUGCUCUGUCGCCCAGGCUGGAGUCCAACGGCGUGAUCUCGGCUCACUGCAACCUCCGCCUCCCUGGUUCAAGCUAUUCUACUGCCUCAACCUCCGAGGUAGCUGGGACUACAGGCAUGUGCCACCAUACCCGGCUAAUUUUAUUGUAUUUUUAGUAGAGUUGGGGUUUCACCAUGCUGGCCAGGCUGGUCUCGAACUCCUGACCUCAAGUGAUCUGCCCGCCUCGGCCUUCUAAAGUGCUGGGAUUACAGAUGUGAGCCAUCGUGCCAAGCCAAGAUUUUUUAAAUUGAGAAAUAAAGUUGUAUGUAUUUAUUGUGUACAACAUUAUGUUUUGAAGUAUAUAUACACUGUGGAGUAGUUAAAUCUAGCUAAUAAAUGUAUUACAUCACACAGUUAUUUUGGUGGUGAAAACAUUUAAUGUCUACCAUCUUUUCAUUUUUCAAGAAUAUAUCAUCACUAACUGUAGUCACCAUGCUAUACAGUAGAGCUCUUGAACUUAUUCCUGUCUAACUGUAAUUAUGUAUCCUUUAGACCCACAUCUCCCCAUUCCCCCUCCCCUAACCACUUCAGCCUAUGGAAAGAAAAUUCUGCUUUCCACUUCCGUGAGAUCACCUUUUACAGAUUCCACAAAUGAGUGAGAUCAUGUAGUAUUUGUCUGUGUCUGGCUUAUUUCAGUUAACAUAGUCUCUUCCAGGUUCAUCCAUUUUGUUGCAAAUGAUAGGAUUUUAUUCAUUUUUAUGGCUGAAUAGUAUUCCAUUGUGUAUAUACACUAUAUUUCCUUUAUCCAUUAAUGGACAUUUAUUGAUUCCAUAUCUUGGCUGUUGUAAAUAGUGCUGCAAUAAAC
rnacentral:lncRNA from 10 species